CGCCUUUUGAAUGAUAUAAAAGGUAAUGCCUGCCCAGUGACCAUGUGUUCAACGGCCGCGGUAUUCUGACCGCGCGAAGGUAGCGUAAUCACUUGUUUUUUAAAUAAAGACUAGUAUGAACGGCCGCACGAGGACCUAACUGUCUCCUUUGUCCAAUCAGUGAAACUGAUCUCCUCGUGCAGAAGCGAGGAUUCUCCCAUAAGACGAGAAGACCCUAUGGAGCUUCAAACCUUUAUCAACUAUUUUCUUUACUCCUCUAAGGAAACAACAGCCAAUUAAAUUUACUUGAUAAAAGUUUUGGGUUGGGGCGACCAUGGAGAAAAAAAAAUCCUCCCUGAUGAUUACCUAACCAAGAGCCACAGCUCUAAGUAUUAAGACACUUAACUCCUAUUGACCCAUUUUAUGAUCAACGAACCAAGUUACCCUAGGGAUAACAGCGCAAUCCAUUUCAAGAGUCCCUAUCGACAAAUGGGUUUACGACCUCGAUGUUGGAUCAGGGCAUCCCAGUGGUGCAACCGCUACUAAAGGUUCGUUUGUUCAACGAUUAAAGCCCU
rnacentral:rRNA from 1 species